UGGGUAGUCCGCACGAGCGCACCUUACUUUUAGUUGCUAUCAUUCCGUUGGGCACUCUAAAAGAACUGCCAGUGAUAAGCUGGAGGAAGGUGGGGAUGACGUCAAGUCCUCAUGGCCCUUAUGUGUUGGGCUACACACGUGCUACAAUGGUAUUUACAAUGGGAUGCAAAGAGGCAACUCCUAGCAAACCCUCAAAAAAUACCUCAGUUCGGAUUGUACUCUGCAACUCGAGUACAUGAAGCUGGAAUUACUAGUAAUCGCGGAUCAGCGCGCCGCGGUGAAUACGUUCCCGGGUCUUGUACACACCGCCCGUCACACCAUGGAAGUUGGUUACACCUUAAGGCAAAGUGUAAAAUCUUUGACUACGGUACGAUCAGCGACUGGGGUGAAGUCGUAACAAGGUAGCCGUAGGGGAACCUGCGGCUGGAUCACCUCCUUUCU
rnacentral:rRNA from 1 species